GUGCGUAACACCUCAUGUUGCCUGCUCUUUUGCUCUGAGAUCAGCCAAAAUAAAAGCAUAAUUUUAGUGUUAGCUGGUUGCUGUGACUCCUGCAAAAAACUCGUGAAGAAAUUAUUUAUUCCCUGUUUACACAAAGAGUGUCCGCUAUUAGUACUGCUUUAGGCCAAAAAGAGCUAAGGAAGAGAGGGGAUUGUCUCCCUUGUAGUCUUCUGGAAGCACCAUGUUUUAUUUCUUUAGCUUAAGGAAACAGCAGUAGCAGGGUUUCUGGCUACAGUAUAUCGCUAACACAUGCUCAGUGAGUAACAGAUAAUAUGAUGUUAUUAUUCUUUUCUUGUCACUUGAGUCCCAGGUUUACUCAGGAUCAUCCAGAAUCCAAUGCUCUGCAGUGAUGAAUUGUGAAAAUAAAUGAGAUUAUUCGUGUCAGUUCGCUAUCUGAGGACUCUGUGCAACAUUUGCUAAGACUCAGUAGAUUUGUAGCCACAGAAGAAGAGGAUACCACCUGGUGUUUUGCUUCCAGAACAGUUUCUAAAGUCUCAUUUUGCCAUUCUGGGACAUCAUUCUACAGUGUGGAAAGAAAGAAAAAAGGUACGACUUACACAGCAACCUCCCAUUCUUUCUGUAUUUUGUCUCAUUUUAUUCUGUUUUUCC
rnacentral:lncRNA from 1 species